rnacentral:rRNA from 1 species
UACGUAGGGUGCGAGCGUUAAUCGGAAUUACUGGGCGUAAAGCGUGCGCAGGCGGCGCGUUAAGACAGGUGUGAAAGCCCCGAGCUUAACUUGGGAAUUGCGCUUGUGACUGGCGUGCUGGAGUGUGGCAGAGGGAGGUGGAAUUCCACGUGUAGCAGUGAAAUGCGUAGAGAUGUGGAGGAACACCGAUGGCGAAGGCAGGCUC